UCCCGAUUGGCUCGGGCAGUCUCGUGUGAAAAAUUCAACACACGACAAGGGUUGCGCUCGUUGCGGGACUUAACCCAACAUCUCACGACACGAGCUGACGACGGCCAUGCAACACCUGUCACUAGGCUCCCGAAGGCACUCCGACGUUUCUGCCGGAUUCCUAGGAUGUCAAGCCUUGGUAAGGUUCUUCGCGUAGCAUCGAAUUAAACCACAUGCUCCACUGCUUGUGCGGGUCCCCGUCAAUUCCUUUGAGUUUUAGCCUUGCGGCCGUACUCCCCAGGCGGGAUGCUUAACGCGUUAGCUUCGCAACGCAGAGGGUCGAUACUCCACACUACUAGCAUCCAUCGUUUACGGCGUGGACUAC
rnacentral:misc_RNA from 1 species